rnacentral:rRNA from 1 species
AUGGUGCGUAGCGGUACGAGUCGAGGUAGUAUAGGAAGUACAUGCGGAGGCAAGCAAUAUAAAUAUGGUCCAAGCCUCAAGCCUCUUCCGCAGAGGUCUUAUGACAGGUCCGAGGAGGAAAUCGCAGCCAUAUCGAAGGCCGAGGUGGAAGCCCAUUUUGCACUGAAACCACCACCGCCGCCAAGGGAGAAAGUGCCUGAGGAAACGAUUGACCACUUCAUUCGUAUGGCUCAACCACCAGCUCGCAAGCCUGUUGACACAGACUAUGAGCGCCACAUUAGGAAGUUAAAUCCAGCACGUCUAAAAAGGGAGGCGAGCACGUCUACAUCGGGAUCGAGCAAACAAGAAGCAGCUGCCAAAAAAUGCGCGAAAACCAUUCCCCAGCUGGGAGAACAGGCGGCGCAAUCGAUCCCCUCGCUUGUUGCGCCAACAACAAGUGACAGUACGCGCGCCCAAUAUUAUUGUGGGCAAAUAGUGCAUGUUCCCGAGGUGGCAAUGUGGUAA